rnacentral:lncRNA from 10 species
GAAUGCUUGCACCAAGGAAAGGCCAUCGGAGGCCAUAACCAGGAAGAGAGCCCUCACGAAGAACCUGACCAUGUUGGCACCGAUCUCAGAAUUCCGGCCUCCAGAAUUAUGAGAAAUAAUUAUUUGUUAUUUAAGCCACCAAGUGUUUGGUAUUCUGUUAUGGCAGCCCGAACUAAAACACAUGACUAUUUGCUCAAAGGAUUCAGAAAGCAGCCAAGAAGGAAUAACGGGGGUCACAUUCACCCUCCUGCCUGGAAAAAACUGGGCAGAAUGUAUGAAGCAAUAGUUUCAAAGUGCUAGACAGCAGGCAACAAAGGACAGUGAUCCCGGAGAAACAGGAAGCAAACGAGGUGAGCCCCGCGAUGGCUCCAGCUGCCUGCGGGGGAAGUUUCCAGGCUGCAGCACAGGGAAGGGGAGCAGAGGCGGAGCCCAACAGAAUUCCUGAAUUGAAGCAGCAGGAGCUCCCAGGACAGCAUACUGGAGAGGAGGAGCGGCACAGAGACAUCUCCGGAGAUAAUGCGCAGAGAGAGAACUUCAGCGGAGUGCUGCUCAGCAUGUGCGUGUGAGCAACCCACUCCAGGCCAGGGUAGGAACCACCCAGAAGGAUGAGAGGAAUCUAACUUUGAUGGUCAUAAAAAACAGAAUAGCUUCUGUUCCCACCAGUCAGACAGGAAAGCCUCAUUAUCCAUGGGGUAUUGGAUAGGGCACUCGGGAGAGUCUUGCCUCAGUCAUGGGGAAUAAUUAAUCCUAGGUAAUAAUUAGCCUAGACAAAACAUGGCUCUGCUCCCACCCAAUAAAUCUUAAAAGCAAGAAUUUAAAGGAUCAAACUGUUUCAAGUAACUUAACUGCAGUCCCAAAACAGAGCUCGAGAAUAUUUACAGGAAAUCAAAAAUACCUAGCACCUGACAAAUGAAAAAUCUUAAUGUCUGGUCCAGUAAAAAAUUACUUGGCAUGGUCUAUAUAUAAACCCUCACUUUACAAACAAUUGACUUUUGACAAGGGUGCCAAGAUAAUUGAAAGGGAAAAGAAUAGUCUUUUCUGUAUUUUUUCUUGUUUUAGAGAUGGGAUCUCGAUCUGUCACUUAGGCUGGAGUACAGUGGUGUGAGCCGAGAUCGCACCAUUGCACUCCAGCCUGGGUGACAAGAGCGAAACUCUGUCUCUCAAAUAAACAAAUAAACAAAACACAAUAGACAAAAAUAAAGAUAAGUUGAAAUUUAUUUUUCUAAUUUAUCCUUUUUGUCAAUUAGAAAAAUAAAUUUUAAUUUAUCUUUUUAUUUUUGUCAAUUUAUCAAAACUAAAUUCUUUUAUCCUUUGAUGGACACCAUCAGGAAAGGGAAAGACAGGCCCACUGAAUUAGAGAAAACAUUACAUCACAUGUCUAAUAAAGAUCUAGUAUCCAGAAUGCAUGAGCCACCGUGCCUGGCCGACAUUGUAUAUUUAAAAUAGGUAAAUUGUAUGAUAUGUAAAUUAUACCUCAAUAAAACUGUUAUAUUAAAAUAAAAUUACUAGGCAUUAAAAGAAGCAAGAAAAUAUAAUCCAUAAUAAGGAGAAAACCCUAUCUAUCUAAAUCAACUCAGAACUGACACAGAUGUUAAAAUCUGCAGAGAGAGACAUUAAAAGUUAUCAUUGUGUUUCAUAUGUUGAAAAAGUUAAAUAGAGACAUGGAGGAUUUUAAAAGGCCCAAGUCAGACUCCUAGAGAUGAAAAAACAGUCUAAGGUGAAAAAUGCACUGGUGGAGUUAAGGGCACAUUAAACAUAGCAGAAGAAAAAAAUUAGUGAAUUUGCAGGCACAGCAAUAGAAACUAUCCAAAACAAAAUACAGAGAGGAAAAAUAAUUUUUUAAAGAUGAGCAGAGCAUCACUGAACUGUGGUACGCUUCAAGCAGCCUAACAUGUAUGUAACUGAGGAUUCAGGAGAGGAGAGAGAAGGGGAGGGACAGAAAAAAAUAUUUAAAGAAAUAAUAGGCCGGGUGCAGUGGCUUACGCCUGUAAUCCUAGCACUUUGGGAGGCUGAGGCAGGUGGAUCACUUGAGAUCAGGAGUUCGAGACCAACCUGGCCAAUAUGGUGAAACUCAGUCUCUACUAAAAAUACAAAAAUUAACUGGGCAUGGUGGCGGGCACCUGCAAUCCCAGCUACUCAGGAGGCUGAGGCACAAGAAUUGCUUAAACCCAGGAGGUGAAGGCUGCAGUGAUCCAAGGUCAUGCCACUGCACUCCACCCUCGGUGACGGAGUAAGACUCUGUGUC